rnacentral:rRNA from 1 species
CAGAUAUCAGGAGGAACACCGAUGGCGAAGGCAGGUCUCUGGGCAUUAACUGACGCUGAGGAGCGAAAGCAUGGGGAGCGAACAGGAUUAGAUACCCUGGUAGUCCAUGCCGUAAACGUUGGGCACUAGGUGUGGGGGACAUUCCACGUUUUCCGCGCCGUAGCUAACGCAUUAAGUGCCCCGCCUGGGGAGUACGGCCGCAAGGCUAAAACUCAAAGGAAUUGACGGGGGCCCGCACAAGCGGCGGAGCAUGCGGAUUAAUUCGAUGCAACGCGAAGAACCUUACCAAGGCUUGACAUGGACUGGAAAUACCUGGAAACAGGUGCCCCGCUUGCGGUCGGUUCACAGGUGGUGCAUGGUUGUCGUCAGCUCGUGUCGUGAGAUGUUGGGUUAAGUCCCGCAACGAGCGCAACCCUCGUUCUAUGUUGCCAGCGCGUAAUGGCGGGGACUCAUAGGAGACUGCCGGGGUCAACUCGGAGGAAGGUGGGGACGACGUCAAAUCAUCAUGCCCCUUAUGUCUUGGGCUUCACGCAUGCUACAAUGGCCGGUACAAAGGGUUGCGAUACUGUGAGGUGGAGCUAAUCCCAAAAAGCCGGUCUCAGUUCGGAUUGGGGUCUGCAACUCGACCCCAUGAAGUCGGAGUCGCUAGUAAUCGCAGAUCAGCAACGCUGCGGUGAAUACGUUCCCGGGCCUUGUACACACCGCCCGUCAAGUCACGAAAGUUGGUAACACCCGAAGCCGGUGGCCUAACCCCUUGUGGGAGGGAGCUGUCGAAGGUGGGACUGGCGAUUGGACUAAGU